GACGUAGGGCGCGAGCGUUGUCCGGAUUUAUUGGGCGUAAAGAGCUCGUAGGCGGCUCGUUGCGUCGGGCUGUGAAAACCCGCAGCUCAACUGUGGGCUUGCAGCCGAUACGGGCGGGCUGGGAUUCGGUAGGGGAGACUGGAAUUCCUGGUGUAGCGGUGAAAUGCGCAGAUAUCAGGAGGAACACCGGUGGCGAAGGCGGGUCUCUGGGCCGAUAUCGACGCUGAGGAGCGAAAGCGUGGGGAGCGAACAGG
rnacentral:rRNA from 1 species